rnacentral:rRNA from 1 species
CGAGCUGACGCCGCGCGCCGCGUGAGCGAUGAAGGCCUUCGGGUCGUAAAGUUCUGUCCUCAAGGACGAUAAUGACGGUACUUGAGGAGGAAGCCCCUGCUAACUACGUGCCAGCAGCCGCGGUAAUACGUAGGGGGCAAGCGUUAUCCGGAAUUACUGGGCGUAAAGGGUGCGUAGGUGGUUUCUUAAGUCAGACGUGAAAGGCUACAGCUCAACCGUAAUGAGCCUUUGAAACUGGAAAACUUGAAUGCCUGAGAGGAGAGUGGAAUUCCUAGUGUAGCGGUGAAAUGCGUAUAUAUUAGGAGGAACUCCCGUUGCCAAAGGGGCUCUGUGGACUGUAACUGACACUGAAGGACCGAAGCCGGGGGAGCAAACAGGAUUAGAUUCCCUGGGAGUCCACCCCCUAAACCAUUAGUACUUACUGUCGGAGGUAACCCCCUUCGGUGGCUCAGCUAAUGCAUUAAGUACUCCGCCUGGUAAGUACGCUCGCCAGAAUGAAACUCAUAGGAAUUGACGGGGACCGGUCCAAGUAGCGGAGCAUGUGGUUUAAUUCGAAGCAACGCGAAGAACCUUACCUUAGCUUGACAUACUUUUGACCAAUGCUUAAUCACAUCUUUCCCUUCUUGGACAAAAGUGACACGUGGUGCAUGGUUGUCGUCAGCUCGUGUCUCGAGAUGUUGGGUUAAGUCCCCUUACGAGAACAACCCCCUGCCUCUUAUUUGCCAAUUUUAUAGUUGGGCACUCUAGAGGGACUGCCAGGGAUAACCUAUGACGAAGGUGGGCGAUGACGUCAAAUCAUCAUGCCCCUUAUGCUUAGGGAUACACACGUGCUAUGUGGGUCGACAGAGGGGAGCCAAGUCUCGAGUCAGAGCUUAUCUCUUAAAGGAUUGUCAUUGGGA